UGGCGGAGCGCGGGAGGAAGCGGCCGUGCGGCCCGGGUGAACACGGCCAAAGGAUUGAGUGGCGAAAAUGGAAGCAACAGAGAUGUUCUUUUAUCCAGAGAAAGAGGAGAAAAAGAAAUGGAAGGAUCUCAAGCUGAUGAAAAAACUGGAGCAGCAGCGGGCACAGGAGGAACAGGCAAAGCGCCAGGAAGAGGAGGAGGCAGCGGCAGAGAAGGAGGACCGCGGGCGGCCCUACACACUGAGUGUAGCCCUGCCGGGCUCCAUCCUGGACAAUGCUCAGUCGCCGGAGCUUCGCACCUACUUGGCCGGUCAGAUUGCCAGAGCCUGUGCCAUCUUCUGUGUGGAUGAGAUCGUGGUGUUUGAUGAGGAGGGCCAGGAUGCCAAGACUGUGGAGGGGGAAUUCACAGGAGUUGGGAAGAAGGGGCAGGCGUGCGUACAGCUGGCCCGGAUCCUGCAGUACCUGGAGUGUCCACAGUACCUGAGGAAGGCAUUCUUCCCCAAGCACCAGGAUCUACAGUUUGCAGGUAACGCUGUGUGGGCCCGCCUGCCAUUUCCCCUGGAUCAUGCCACAGACACUGAGACCACCCAGUCCUACCCUGCACUGUCCAGGUGGGAAAGCAGGCCUGGGAGAGCAAGACCUGUGCCUGAUGCCAAGACGCAGGUCUGUGGCAAAGCCGGGACUCUGCUCCAGGGUCCCCACUGCACCCUGUGUGCCCUAGCACUUCCCAGACUCCUCCCGGCCCUGCGUCCACAGGGCUCCUGAACCCCUUGGACAGCCCCCACCACAUGCGUCAGGACGAGGAAUCUGAGUUCCGAGAGGGCAUCGUGGUGGAUCGGCCCACCCGGCCAGGCCACGGCUCCUUUGUCAACUGUGGCAUGAAAAAGGUAGGAACAGAAAGGUGGGCUAGGACACACCUCCAGGACA
rnacentral:sRNA from 1 species